rnacentral:rRNA from 1 species
UACGGGGGGGGCAAGCGUUGUUCGGAAUUACUGGGCGUAAAGGGCUCGUAGGCGGCCAACUAAGUCGGACGUGAAAUCCCCAGGCUCAACCUGGGAACUGCGUCCGAUACUGGAUGGCUUGAAUUCGGGAGAGGGAUGCAGAAUUCCAGGUGUAGCGGUGAAAUGCGUAGAUAUCGGGAGGAACACCAACGGCGAAGGCAGCUCGCUGGGACGGUACUGACGCUGAGACGCGAAAGCGUGGGGAGCAAACAGG